rnacentral:tRNA from 1 species
GGGGCUAUAGCUCAGAUGGAAGAGCGCCUGCUUUGCACGCAGGAGGUCAGCGGUUCGAACCCGCUUAGCUCCACAA